rnacentral:rRNA from 1 species
UACGGAAGGUGCAAGCGUUGUUCGGAUUGACUGGGCGUAAAGAGCACGUAGGCGGAUUUGUAAGUCGAAUGUGAAAGCCCCGGGCUUAACCUGGGAACUGCAUUCGAAACUGUGAAUCUUGAAUACCUGAGGGGUUGGGGGAAUUCCUGGUGUAGGAGUGAAAUCCGUAGAUAUCAGGAGGAAUACCAGAGGCGAAGGCGCCCAACUGGCAGAGUAUUGACGCUGAGGUGCGAAAGCGUGGGGAGCAAACAGG